rnacentral:misc_RNA from 1 species
CCUAAAUGAAGUAAUGCAUAGUAAUACUGUAUAACAUCGUAACAUAAUCUUUGUGACUGUAACUCUGUCUUCUCAAUUAUAAUUUUGAUCUGUAUGGGAGAUCAUACGAACUCUCAACUCGUGUUUCGUGCUUGGCACACCCUAACACUAAUUUGCGGCCAUUCAGCAGCCCAGGAUGUUACACUUACAGAAUCCUAUAAAUAACAGACUUUAAUUGCAACGACCUCAUUGUUAUUCAGUUGUUCUGUUUGACAACGUCCUUCGUUCACUUGAAGAGUAUUCCUGUAUGGGAGCUACAGCAACAACCACAUCAUGGAAAUGAAGAUGACUAUGGGUUUGCUUCUUCUAUUUGCGAUCGUUGUAGCAUUUAUUCCAACUGUUUCGGCACGAAGCAAGCAGAAUUUUGAAACAGGACAUCAUUUAGUCCUGGAACCAGAACAUUCUGACCUCAGCGAAAACCAAGUGAAGGCUAAGUCUGACAGCAAACAACACUCACGAGAAAAGGAUGCUGGACAAGGCAUUUUGCACGACCAACCACCUCUCCAGGGUCCUGGUCAAGUCAACACUCGACUUCCUGGAGUCGACUUCGCUUUGUACGGGUAUAACAGUCUGAAGGGAUGCCCACUGGCACCAGGUCGCGAUCCUGGCUUCACCUUGCCCAUAUUCUCUGCUGACUACAGUGCAGGUCACGUGAUCACGGACAAUAGUUACAGUGUGCCACGUGGGGUGAUUCUUGCACCGGAUGUGUCGUGUGUAACGUCCUUUACAUCAGAGGUCAUUCAGACGCCCUAUGACCUCACCAAGUUUACGAGUCGCACAGUGCAGCUCGAUGGCGGCGAUUGGGGGCCUCCAUUUGCGGCCAACCCUGUCUUUCAGAAAAUUCUCGCUGAAUUGAGAGAGAAAGUCCUGAUCGUGUCAUCAGUCACUUGCAGUUCAUAUCUUGUUUCUCUUUUACAUUUAGAGCCACCACCAUUCCAUUCAAUGUUCCUAAAGUGGGUCCUGAGACUUAAUAAUACAAGUGAUGAGCACCUUUACCUGGAAUUUCUUGACACCUACGGCACACACUUUGUCUCACAAGUCCGCCUGGGAGCUUCGCUAACUUUGGUGCACAAAAUGGAGACUAGCAACUACAACAGGUAUGGACAGGGUCACGUGACGGCUUCUGCAAACUAUUUAUCUGCUUCGCUACUUGGAGAGUCUGAGACCUUAAGUUCCAAUCAGAAAAAACAAGCAGACGAGCUUCAAAGUCAAGUAGAGACAAGUACAGUCGGUGUUGGGGUACCUCCCACUAACAGCGCCAGUAGCUUGGCCUGGCUUACACAAGUAGGGAACAACCCGGUCGCCAUUAACUAUGUCUUGACUCCAAUAGACCUUCUUUUCUCAGAAACAAUUGUCGGUGACUGGGGUCCUCUAAAUCACGAUUCUGUUGAUCUUGACAAGAUAAAAACCAAACUAAUAACUAUUAAGAAGAAAUAUUGUCAGACUUUAAAGAAGAAAGGUCAGCUAUUUGAAUGUGAAGAGCCCACACCUGGAUUACAUCUUAGUCGUACGAGGCUAAUCGGUGUCUCCAUCUUCAGAGAGUUUGUAUCCGGUGAACAUUGUAUGGAGGAGUGUUACAAGCUUCCUGACUGUGUGGCCGUCACUUUUUGUCCCGAGUGUGACAGUAACGACAAGGAGUAUGAACUUUGUCAACUUGUACAAGACAGUCGCACAUGCAGUGCUGAGACCAACUCUCAGUGGCAAACAACCGUCUUUCUUAACAAAAUCCAAACACUGUUUAAAGUGCAGAAUACGACGGUUGCUGACUCGACAUCUGAGUCUAAGAAUCUCAUUGUAUCUUCCUCACAAAGCUGCUAUUCCUCUUGUUUCGAUGAAGACAAGUGUCUGGCCGUCACAGUCUACAAAAGCUCUGAGUCAACUCUCAAUUGUACACGCCACACAGGCCCUAUUCAGAGCUUGAAGGAAGAAACAAGUGCCGACCUGUAUUUUGUGUCACUACACUCAAAAAGGACUUCGACAACAAGAAAGACGAAGACACUUAUUCAUAACGACUGGUUCAUGGCAUCCUGCAUCAGCGAUGAUGGAUGUCUUCAGAAGAACGCGAUGUGCUUUGAGGACAGAUGUAUUUGUCGUCCUGGGUUUUUUUCCUCAACACUGGACAAUACUUGCUCUCCGACAUGCAGCACAGCCAAACUUCAGAAUUCAUACAUGGAGUACCCGGAGAGCGGACUACGGGGACAUAAUGUCGUUUUACGGGAUCCCCUGACUUUAGAAGAGUGCAAGAUCCUGUGUGUCACAACUUCCGGUUGUCUAACCUUAGAUUUCAGAGCCAUAGGAGGGCGCUGUCUGCUGCAUAACAUCACAGCUCUUGACGUGCCAUUAGCCUGGUAUCCUCACAGUAGUAGAGGCUGGACCCACUACCAGAGGACCUGCAUGGACUCUUUAGAGUCGUAUCCUGGACCACUGUGGUACAACUCAUCGUGUCGUAGUGACCUCGACUGUCCUGACCCCAACAGUCAGUGUCUCUUGGGGAAAUGUUUAUGCCCCACUGGUUUCUUUUUGGAUCAAACCGACGUUUCCUGUCGAAUUAUUGCUAAAGAAUCGUGUAAGGAGUGGCAGAGGACACGCGCCAUCUCCGGUGUAUACAAUAUCACCACUGCAAACAUGUCGUUGAAAGUCUCAUGUGACAUGAAUAACGGCGGUGGCUGGCUGGUUUUCCAGAGACGUCGUGAUGGGUCUGUUGACUUCUACAGAAACUGGACGGACUAUGAGCAAGGCUUUGGUGACAUCACUGGAGAGUUCUGGCUUGGUUUAUACAAGAUUCACAAACUUACACAAGGCAGACCUCAUCGACUCCCGUGUUGACCUCAUGGAGAGUGGAAUGGAGAAACGUCACUAUGCUGAGUAUCGUCAUUCAGUGUGGGCGGUCCUGAUACAAAAUACAGACUCCAGGUUUCUGGUUAUUCAGGGAACGCAAGUGACAGCCUCAUAAUACAUAACAACCAAGGCUUCACCACACACGACCAAGACAAUGACAAUUACAAUGGCACUAACUGCGCUGUAUUAUUCCACGGAGCCUGGUGGUACGGAGCCUGUCACAUCUCCAACCUCAACG